rnacentral:rRNA from 43 species
CACACGACUCUCGGCAACGGAUAUCUCGGCUCUCGCAUCGAUGAAGAACGUAGCGAAAUGCGAUACCUGGUGUGAAUUGCAGAAUCCCGCGAACCAUCGAGUCUUUGAACGCAAGUUGCGCCCGAGGCCACUCGGUCGAGGGCACGCCUGCCUGGGCGUCACGC